UACACUCCUACGGGAGGCAGCAGUGGGGAAUUUUGGACAAUGGGCGAAAGCCUGAUCCAGCAAUGCCGCGUGAGUGAAGAAGGCCUUCGGGUUGUAAAGCUCUUUUGUCAGGGAAGAAACGGUGAGAGCUAAUAUCUUUUGCUAAUGACGGUACCUGAAGAAUAAGCACCGGCUAACUACGUGCCAGCAGCCGCGGUAAUACGUAGGGUGCAAGCGUUAAUCGGAAUUACUGGGCGUAAAGCGUGCGCAGGCGGUUUUGUAAGUCUGAUGUGAAAUCCCCGGGCUCAACCUGGGAAUUGCAUUGGAGACUGCGAGGCUAGAAUCUGGCAGAGGGGGGUAGAAUUCCACGUGUAGCAGUGAAAUGCGUAGAUAUGUGGAGGAACACCGAUGGCGAAGGCAGCCCCCUGGGUCAAGAUUGACGCUCAUGCACGAAAGCGUGGGGAGCAAACAGGAUUAGAAACCCGAGUAGUCCCAUGAU
rnacentral:rRNA from 1 species